rnacentral:misc_RNA from 1 species
ACGUUUUGAUCUGAAAUAUUCAGGUCU